UACGUAGGGGGCAAGCGUUGUCCGGAUUUAUUGGGCGUAAAGAGCUCGUAGGCGGUUUGUCGCGUCGGCUGUGAAAACCUGGGGCUCAACCCCGGGCCUGCAGCCGAUACGGGCAAACUAGAAUUCGGUAGGGGAGACUGGAAUUCCUGGUGUAGCGGUGAAAUGCGCAGAUAUCAGGAGGAACACCGGUGGCGAAGGCGGGUCUCUGGGCCGAUAUUGACGCUGAGGAGCGAAAGCGUGGGGAGCGAACAGG
rnacentral:rRNA from 1 species